ACUGGAGCGUAUGAAAUACAAAAUUAGUCUGAUCGUUCUGCGCUUGGCGGAGGAGAUCUUCGGGUGAUGCGGAUCGAUGCCCCUUCCUCGCUGGAUCCUGGAUCCUCCCUCAGGAUCAUCCCUUGUGCAAUGGUGGAGGAGUCCACCCCCGUCCGAUGUGGGCCCCUUCUCCUGGCUGUGGUCCACCCUCAGCCGCGUGGUGGUGGAGGCUCCGCCAAGACGCGGGAACGUAACAUUGAACAUGUGCUUAGAGAAAGCGUGGGACCCAGAGAAACGCGAAAACAAAGUCCUUGUACUGGGCGAAAAUUUACGACCCUCUUCGAGUGCAUGAAAAGACAGGAUAUUCGUAGGAGAUCUUGAAACUUUCAAGAACUGUACGCGACUUAGUCGAAAACAACAUAUUCGAUACGGUCCCUAAUAAAUUAAUCUCUACAAACAUUCAAAGUGAAGCUACGUUUAUUCUCUGGAUUCCCAAACUUUCCCAAGCAUGAACACCCACGUCGAGUGGCUUUAACAAUAUAAGCUUUGUCUAUUGUACAUGAUUGCACGCUCAGAUAGUUUAAAUUUCGCUCUUAAUUUAUGGUCAUCGAUAUAACAAAGUACAGACGCGCUCUGUAAAUAUCCUCACGGUCGUGUUGCCAUACUACAAUGACUAUAUUCAGGAUGAUAACAAGUACGCUUGCGUUACUCCUCCCCCCUUAUUUAAAAAGGUGUUUCCAUGAAACAGCUUUUCUAUAUCCAUACGCCUUAAUAUUAGUUGCAUAUACAAUAUUAACAUUAUAUGGUGCUUUUCUCAUACAAAGUUCAUACAAAAGGUGAGCAACAGUUAAGUCUAUCUAACAUCCAAGGUAUUUUAUUACAUACGUGUCACAAAUACGAGCAACGAGAUGCUUAACAGUCUCCAAUUAUCAUACAAGUUGCAACGAACAUAACCAUACCAGUUUAAGCAGAUCCAUGUACAUAGUGACAGAGUCUAGACUAUAUUUAGCAGUAUUCCAAUUACGCGAAUACAAUAUGAGCACAUGUGUACAAAGAUUUUGUGCAGCGAUGGUCUGUGUGGUGGUGAUUCUGGCAAGAAGAUCAUCAAAAUAUUGUACGAAUGUUCGGGGUGCUGGUCUUGUGGCAAAUUCCGAGGGUAUGUUGGCCUUGGUGCCAAAGACUAAUUCGUGUGGAGAGAACCCAGUGGCUUCAUGCACUGAGGUGUUAUACGAAAAGAUGCAGAACCUCACCCAGUCAUCCCAGUCUGUUUUCGUGCAAUAUAUCUUUAGGUAAUUAAUAAGACUGCGAUGUGCCCUUUCGAGCGAACCUAAUGAUUGGGGAUGAAACGCUGUGGAAGUUAUAGUUUGGAUUUUGAAGAUUUUACAGAAGUGUUUCAUUAUACGACUAACGAAGUUUCUUCCCUGAUCUGUGUGUAUUACUCUUGGGCAACCAAAUCUACUGAUAAAUUGCUCAGCAAGUGCAAGGGCAAUCGUUACUGCAUCCAUGGAUUUUAUGGGAAUUGCAUCUGAAUAUUUCGUAAGGUUGUCCUGUAUGGUAAGCAGAUAUUGAUUUCCUCUGGUAGUUCUGGGUAAGGGUCCUACAAUAUCCAUCUGCACCUUCUCAAAGGCUCUUUGCGGUGUAUCAGUGAUUUGCAUAGGUUGUCUGGUUUUUGCACAAUAAUUUUUAUUUCUUUGGCAGGUUGAACAGGAUCGGACAAAUUCCGUGAUUUCUUUUGCCAUGCCUGGCCAAUAAAAUCGUUGCCGGAGGAGCUGGAGUAAUUUAAAGAUACCUCUGUGGCCUCCAACCACAGAUUCAUGGUAUUCUUGGAUAAUACGAAGACGACUCGACUCAGGUGGGAUAAUAACUUCUUCGGUGCACACGGUGAUUCUAUAUUUCGGGUCAGCAAAGGUGGCAAGAAGGGAUUUGAGGGACUUCAAUGAAGAUUCGACGUGUCCAAGAUCAAAUUCGCUUUGGGAUUCACUCUUGUAAAAUAAGAGGAAGACAGAGUAUCUAUCAUGAGGAAAGGCCAUGGCGUUACUGACUUCAAUUUGGUACUGUUGGAUCUGUUCGGGGGAACAUUCGAUUCUGCUUAGCAAGCCUUUGGUGGUUUGGGAAUUAUCGUCACCGGUUAAUGGGAUAAAAUGGGCGAGAUUAUCUCGUCGCACGAAAAGAUUUUCAUCUACACAAACUACAGCGGGUGGAGCAGGGAAAGGUAUUUCUGUCAGGGUUAUUCCUCUACAAGGUUUCCUUGCACAAAUCAGAUCGCCAGCCACAACAUUCACACUCUCAAUACAACUCAACUCUUCCACGUGCCCACCUGACUUUACCGUCCGAGGUGGUAGUUUCACGUGUCCACUCGAAUCUCCUGUUCGCAGUGGUCUCAUCGGCAGUUCACCCAACAACGCAGGACGGGGUGACGCCGGCAUCGCACACUCACCCGAAUCCCCUGUUUGGUGUGACGGCGGAACCAUACACUCCAUGGGAUCACUAUUCAUUCGUGGCGACCUUGAUUGCGCCUCAGACACACAGGUAUCUGAGUCGGAAAAUCCUUGAACAACAUCAAUUAAUUCGGUUUCUGCUUUCCCGCGCGCCAGGAAUGCAGAAGCCACCAUUACUUCAUUCCUAAAGCAUAAUGUCUCAUUCUUUUCGUCCGUCUCAGGGUUUGCAAUAGGAGUCUCAACCAUGCAGGUGAGCACCUCCUCUAGAUGUUCCGGGUUGUGAUUGGGUUUUAUGGUACGCUGUACAGGUCGUAGAUAAGGAAUAGGAUUUUCAGCGGGGUCAACGGGAUUCCGCGAAAGAGCAUUGGCAUUAGCGUUUACUCUCCCUGGUUUAUUACUACAUUGUAAUCAUAUUUGUUCAAUUUAAUACGCCACCUAAGCAGUUUGGAUGUGGGAUCUUUGAUACUGUGCAACCAUACUAGGGGCCUGUGGGUUUAAAGCC
rnacentral:misc_RNA from 1 species